rnacentral:rRNA from 1 species
AAUAACCGCGCCUCACGUAGUAGUCACGUUUAUUGUGGUCUAAAGCGUCCGUAGCUCGGUGUUGAUAAGUCUCUGGUGAAAUCCUACAUGAAACUGUCGGAAGUGCUGGAGAUACUAUCAGACUCGAGACCGGGAGAGGUCGGGAGUAUUUCACGGGUAAGGGUAAAAUCUUUUAAUCCGUGAAGGACCACCUGUGGCGAAGGC